GUAGAUCCGGUUCCUAUUAUUUGAAAGUCGGCUAUUAAAAAUUCAGCUAAUAUUAAUGUUGGUGAUGAAUUAAUAACUGAUCCUUGUACAAAUACGGCAACAAUGGUAUUAUUUGUUAAGAUCCAAUUAUAUUCAGCUAUCUCAAACGGAGAAUGUUUUGAUACAAAAUCCUCAAGUAUGAGUAUUGAAGCAGUAUCUAGUUAUUCCAUGCUCGGGGCCAACCUGCCUUUGGGAGACAGAGCCAUCUUUUUUAUUUUUUAUCCUUUUUUGAAAGAUUCUCACAAAUACGC
rnacentral:lncRNA from 1 species